rnacentral:tRNA from 2 species
GGAGGGGUGCCAGAGCGGUUUAUUGGCCAGGUCUCGAAAACCUUGGGGGGAGCAAUCCCCACGGAGGUUCGAAUCCUCCUCCCUCCGCCA